CAGUCGCCCGGUAAUACGAAGGGUGCAAGCGUUAAUCGGAAUUACUGAGCGUAAAGGGUGCGUAGGCGGUUGUUUAAGUCUGUUGUGAAAUCCCCGGGCUCAACCUGGGAAUGGCAAUGGAAACUGGACGGCUAGAGUGUGUCAGAGGAUGGUGGAAUUCCCGGUGUAGCGGUGAAAUGCGUAGAGAUCGGGAGGAACAUCAGUGGCGAAGGCGACUAUCUGGGCCAACACUGACACUGAGGCACGAAAGCGUGGGGAGCAAACAGGAUUAGAGACCCCUGUAGUCCCUGUCUCUUAUACA
rnacentral:rRNA from 1 species